rnacentral:rRNA from 1 species
GAUGGGGAGCGAAAUUUAGUAGCGAAGUAGCUGAUUUCACACUGUCAAGAAAAGUCUCUAUCGAGGUUAAAGGUACCCGUACCGCAAACCGACACAGGUGGGGGAGGAGAGUAUCCUAAGGCCAGCGAGAGAACUGUUGUUAAGGAACUCGGCAAAAUGACCCCGUAACUUAGGGAUAAGGGGUGCCACCAUCAGGUGGCCGCAGAGAAUAGGCCCAAGCGACUGUUUACCAAAAACAUAGGUUUCUGCUAAG